UGGGUGGUGACCAUCCCGAAGCAGUUGAACUCCUCCCUAUGUCUGAGUUAUACAUUGAUCAAUUUGCAUAUUGACAUCUUGCAUUAAGGGUGAUAGUUGAUGAUUGGUCCUGUAUAUAUAUAUAUAUAUUGCAUGCUUCUUGGUAGAAUAAUGUAUUUGGUUUAGCAAUUGUAUCUAGCAUGCUUGAGGUUUAUAUAUAUGAUGUGAAACCCUAUGAUAUCUGAUAAGUAUGGAUGAGAACCUAGUGUAUUACAAACUAGUGUAAUGAGAACGAGUGGCAUCUUGUUAACAAUGAAACCAGAACGAGUGGCAUCUAGCUAGUAUGAAAAUGAUAUUGAAAUUGAGAACCUAGUGUAGUCGAAACACUUGAGAUUGAGUAUUAGAAUACUUGAUACUAUGAUGACACCAACCUUAGUUGGUAGGAUGUUCCCAGUUCGUGAGAUUGAUCGAGCUCACAUAGCCUGUCUGCGCUUGUCGGGGUCGCUCCCCACAGGCNACCAGAACGAGUGGCAUCUAGCUAGUAUGAAAAUGAUAUUGAAAUUGAGAACCUAGUGUAGUCGAAACACUUGAGAUUGAGUAUUAGAAUACUUGAUACUAUGAUGACACCAACCUUAGUUGGUAGGAUGUUCCCAGUUCGUGAGAUUGAUCGAGCUCACAUAGCCUGUCUGCGCUUGUCGGGGUCGCUCCCCACAGGCUGUGUACUCCGGAGGUUGACACUCGAGGGGGCUAACGUAUUUGCCCUUGGACUAACGUAUCUGUCCGCAGGCGGUCUCGGGGGUAGUCGAGCAGCUGGACUUCGCCCCUAGGAGAUUUACGAAAGUGAGACUGAGAAUAUGAUUGGGUGACCUAAUGUAUAGUUUCAUUGUUGAGCAUAUUAGCAUGGUAGCUAGCCUUUCUAUCAGUUUCAUGCAUUCAUUAUAUCGGAUUGAGGCAUAGUUAGAUGUUCACAUUUGUACUUAUUAUCAUUACAGUAGAUGCUUUCAGUUACACCUAUCUAUCUAUCUACCUAUCUGUCUUCCUGUGCCUCCUUAGACCUAGUGGGGAGAUCGGCGGAGUCGGCGGCCGAACCCACUGGGAACUAUGGAAGAUAGUUCUCACCCCCAUUUUAUUACAGGACCGAGUUCGUGUGUGCCAGCUGAGGAUCGCGGUAAGGGCUUAGCGCCCUAGAGGUUGCAUUAGCUUACUUUCCUAUUUUGCAUUAGAGUUACCCUAUUUAUGUUUGAGAGUAGAUGAUGUAUAGGAUGUGAGCUAUUUCGAGAUGAAUGUAAAGUAAUAUUUAUACUUUGGAAAGAUGUAAGCUUUGUAUUAUGUUUUAGAAGCUUGAUGUAUGAUCAAGUUGUAAUAUAAUGGUUGAAUGGAUGUAAUAGGUAGAAUGUAUCUCUCUCUCUUUUAUUCACUUGUAUGUUGAUUACUCGUGAUGCUUACUCUUGAAUGCUUAGCACUGUUUGUGCUCUCGCUAUCGUUGUAUGAUCAUGUAUGUAAUCAAGUGUAUUUCCUGGGGACUUGUGUACAUGAUCUCGUCGCUUUUGCCUUGGGCGGACAGGGGAGACUCUGUCCGUUCGGCGUCCGUUCGCCGCGCCCGAUCCGGACCAAAUUGGUAGCGAGCUCGGGGCGGGGGCGUGACAGUUGUGGUAUCAGAGAGAGUUAAGAGCAAGCAAAGAGAGAGUCUAGGAUGGACCUAGGAAACCCUAAGACG
rnacentral:lncRNA from 1 species